rnacentral:rRNA from 1 species
CCCCUAGAUGUUCUGGGCCGCACGCGUGCUACACUGACCGGCGCAACAAGCUUCUUCCCUUGGCCGACAGGCCUGGGUAAUCUUCGAACGCCGGUCGUGAUGGGGAUAGAUCCUUGCAAUUUUUGAUCUUCAACGAGGAAUUCCUAGUAAACGCGAGUCAUCAUCUCGCAUUGAUUACGUCCCUGCCCUUUGUACACACCGCCCGUCGCACCUACCGAUUGAAUGGUCCGGUGAAGCCUCCGGAUUGCGCGCGCCUCCGGGCCGCACGAGAAGUUGGCUAAACCUUACCAUUUAGAGGAAGGUGGAGUCGUAACA